rnacentral:rRNA from 1 species
GGAGCGGCCGAUGUCUGAUUAGCUAGUUGGUGGGGUAAAGGCCCGACCAAGGCGACGAUCAGUAGCGGGUCUGAGAGGAUGAUCCGCCACACUGGGACUGAGACACGGCCCAGACUCCUACGGGAGGCAGCAGUGGGGAAUUUUGGACAAUGGGCGCAAGCCUGAUCCAGCAAUGCCGCGUGAGUGAAGAAGGCCUUCGGGUUGUAAAGCUCUUUCAGUUGAGAAGAAAAGAUUGUGACUAAUAAUUGCAAUUCAUGACGGUAUCAACAGAAGAAGCACCGGCUAACUACGUGCCAGCAGCCGCGGUAAUACGUAGGGUGCGAGCGUUAAUCGGAAUUACUGGGCGUAAAGGGUGCGCAGGCGGUUCUGUAAGUCAGAUGUGAAAUCCCCGGGCUUAACCUGGGAACUGCGUUUGAAACUACAGAGCUAGAGUGUGGCAGAGGGGGGUGGAAUUCCAUGUGUAGCAGUGAAAUGCGUAGAGAUAUGGAAGAACAUCGAUGG